rnacentral:rRNA from 1 species
AUUGAACGCUGGCGGCAGGCCUAACACAUGCAAGUCGAACGAGUGGCGGACGGGUGAGGAAUGUCUGGGAAACUGCCUGAUGGCGGGGGAUAACUACGGGAAACGGUAGCUAAUACCGCAUACCAUCAGAUGUGCCCAGAUGGGAUUAGCUUGUUGGUGGGGUAACGGCGCACCAAGGCGACGAUCCCUAGCUGGUCUGAGAGGAUGACCCGCCAACCUGGACGUGAGACCGGGUGCAGACUCUGAGGGUAGGGAGCAGUGGGGAAUAUUGCACAAUGGGCGCAAGCCUGAUGCAGCCAUGCCGGGUGUAUGAAGAAGGCCUUCGGGUUGUAAAGUACUUUCAGCGGGGAGGCGUUACCCGCAGAAGAAGCACCGGCUAACUCCGUGCCAGCAGCCGCGUAAUAC